UUGGUUAAGUCCGCACGAGCGCAACCCCUACUUGUUAGUUGCCAUCAUUCAGUUGGGCACUCUAGCGAGACUGCCGGUAAUAAACCGGAGGAAGGUGGGGAUGACGUCAAAUCAUCAUGCCCCUUAUGACCUGGGCUACACACGUGCUACAAUGGUUGGUACAACGAGUUGCGAGUCGGUGACGGCGAGCUAAUCUCUUAAAGCCAAUCUCAGUUCGGAUUGUAGGCUGCAACUCGCCUACAUGAAGUCGGAAUCGCUAGUAAUCGCGGAUCAGCACGCCGCGGUGAAUACGUUCCCGGGCCUU
rnacentral:rRNA from 1 species